rnacentral:misc_RNA from 1 species
GCCUUUCAUUUUCCAACACCAAUUUAUCCCCUAAACUAUCAACAAACUCCUUAACCUUAGAUUUCAAUUCCAAUUCCAGUGCAUCCUUACCAUUUGAUACUGAAGCAUCGUCAAUCAAUUUCUCUUUUCCUUUCUCUUCUCUGCUAUAGGUCCUCCUUCCCCUUGAAUUGCUGCUCUGAUUUUGGGUUUUCCCCAAUUGCUCAGUGACAACAGCAUCUUCGCCUUUGUUCCUUAUUUCUUCUCUUCCACAUCCCUUCCUUCCCCUUGAAUUACUACCCUCAUCAAUGUUUUUCUUUUCCUCCAAUUUCUCAUUAGCAACAUCCACUUUACUCCCCUUCCCUCUCUCGAGGUCUCCCACCAUCUGUUUAAUCCCAUUGUCAAUUAAAUUCUCCCCAACUUGCCCAACAUGGGAUUUCUCUUCCUUACGUAAUUUGCCCUUUCCUUUCCCUUCAGUGACAUAUUGUCCGCUCGACCGCUUAGCACUCCCAUUCUCCUCAAAAUUCAAACCCUUGUCUUCACGUUCUGUUCCUGUCUCAACACCCGAAUUAUCACCUCUAAAUCUCUUAGUAGCCCGUUUCCCAGACCUCAAGUUCAAAAUCCCAGGCAAACUCAUUCCAGCCCCAUUAUCUUUCACACUACCUUCAUUAGCAAUUUGAUCCGCCACAUACGCCGCAUUUUGCUCCUCAAUCCCUUCGUUCUCUUCAAUCGAGCGCUUGCUGGCGGAACCCUUCGUCUUCCGGGACCCAUUUUGAAUGCAACCAUCAACUGGAAUUGAUUUAUAAGCGAGACGGAGGCUCCGUCUCCGGUAGGACUCGGUGAUGGAAGCGGACUCGGAAGCCAAUUGGUGAUUUUGGAGGUUCGGGGUGAGAGAAGGCGAUGACUGGCGGAUGGAGGGUUCGCGUAAUUGGACAGGAGUGACAGGCUCCGGAGAGACCCGAUUCGUUUGGGGUUUGGGAGCAGGGUCAGCAAGGAGUACUUCGCGAGACCUAAGCACAACCAUGGCUGCUCCUGCAGGACGAAGAUAGAUGAUGAAGAUACAAGAAAUGGCGGGAAUGAAGUUAGAGCGAGCAAGUG